UACGAAGGGGGCUAGCGUUGUUCGGAAUUACUGGGCGUAAAGCGCACGUAGGCGGACUAUUAAGUCAGGGGUGAAAUCCCGGGGCUCAACCCCGGAACUGCCUUUGAUACUGGUAGUCUCGAGUCCGGAAGAGGUGAGUGGAAUUCCGAGUGUAGAGGUGAAAUUCGUAGAUAUUCGGAGGAACACCAGUGGCGAAGGCGACUCUUUGGCCUGUAACUGACGCUGAGGCGCGAAAGCGUGGGGAGCAAACAGG
rnacentral:rRNA from 1 species